rnacentral:rRNA from 1 species
AUGAACGCUGGCGGCGUGCCUAAUCCCUGCCAGUCGAGCGAACAGACGAGGAGCUUGCUCCUCUGACGUUAGCGGCGGACGGGUGAGUAACACGUGGAUAACCUACCUAUAAGACUGGGAUAACUUCGGGAAACCGGAGCUAAUACCGGAUAAUAUAUUGAACCGCAUGGUUCAAUAGUGAAAGACGGUUUUGCUGUCACUUAUAGAUGGAUCCGCGCCGCAUUAGCUAGUUGGUAAGGUAACGGCUUACCAAGGCAACGAUGCGUAGCCGACCUGAGAGGGUGAUCGGCCACACUGGAACUGAGACACGGUCCAGACUCCUACGGGAGGCAGCAGUAGGGAAUCUUCCGCAAUGGGCGAAAGCUUGACGGAGCAACGCCGCGUGAGUGAUGAAGGUCUUCGGAUCGUAAAACUCUGUUAUUAGGGAAGAACAAAUGUGUAAGUAGCUAUGCACGUCUUGACGGUACCUAAUCAGAAAGCCACGGCUAACUACGUG